GGUGACCUGCACAAGUAAUAACAUGAAUAAGAUUCACUAUAUUAGCACAAAUGAAGAAAUAUGACAUCAGUAGAAAACAUGUCAAGUGCAUUUUCACAGAUGUUCUAGCCUAACAAAGUAAAGAAACCAUAAGGUUCACUAUAUUAGCCCAAAUAAAGAAAUAUGACAUCAGACAGAAAACAUGUCAAGUGCAUUUUCACAGAUGUUACAGCCCAACAAAGUAAAGAAACCUGAAUCUCGAGAAAACACCUCAAAUUUAAAAUACCUCCCCAAUACGAGUUCAUUUGUGUGUGUCUGAGCUUUCAGGACACAAGCUCAUGUGCUUUCAUAUCAUCAAUACUUAGUGCACAAUCAGGAGUAUACAAACAAAAUACACUACCCAGCUAAUGAGUUGAUGCAUUGUAUCAUUGGACCUGUCUAGACAUGUAGUAGUACAGUAGAACAAGAAGGCGAGGCAAGAGAAAAACAUAAACCAUCAAACUAAGAAUACGAUAAUCAUAUAGCCUUUAAGCUGCUCUAUGGAAUCAAAUGACAAAAAGGUGUGACGAAAGCUAUUCAAAUACAAAAUGCUUGGCUGCUAAGUGGGGAUUUCAACUAUGUGCUAACUACUGAAUAUUGAAUAGGACCACCUGUCACUCAAUCAGAAAUCCAAAGAUUUCAGGAUUUGGUUGAGG
rnacentral:lncRNA from 1 species